GACCCGUCUUGAAACAMGGACCAAGGAGUCUAGCAUGUGUGCGAGUCAUUGAGACCGAAUCUAAACUGAAAGGCGCAACGAAAGUGAAGGCGCGCGCCAGUCGCGCGCUCAGGGAGGAUGGGGCCGGGCUCCGCUCGGCUCUCGCACUCCCGAGGCGUCUCGUUUCCAAUCAGUGAAUGCAGGCGCGCUCUGAGCACAGAUGCUGGGACCCGAAAGAUGGUGAACUAUGCCUGGUCAGGUCGAAGUCAGGGGAAACCCUGAUGGAGGACCGUAGCGAUUCUGACGUGCAAAUCGAUCGUCGGAACUGGGUAUAGGGGCGAAAGACUAAUCGAACCAUCUAGUAGCUGG
rnacentral:rRNA from 1 species